AUUGAACGCUGGCGGCAGGCUUAACACAUGCAAGUCGAGCGGGGGAAGGUAGCUUGCUACCGGACCUAGCGGCGGACGGGUGAGUAAUGCUUAGGAAUCUGCCUAUUAGUGGGGGACAACAUCUCGAAAGGGAUGCUAAUACCGCAUACGUCCUACGGGAGAAAGCAGGGGAUCUUCGGACCUUGCGCUAAUAGAUGAGCCUAAGUCGGAUUAGCUAGUUGGUGGGGUAAAGGCCUACCAAGGCGACGAUCUGUAGCGGGUCUGAGAGGAUGAUCCGCCACACUGGGACUGAGACACGGCCCAGACUCCUACGGGAGGCAGCAGUGGGGAAUAUUGGACAAUGGGGGGAACCCUGAUCUAGCCAUGCCGCGUGUGUGAAGAAGGCCUUAUGGUUGUAAAGCACUUUAAGCGAGGAGGAGGCUACCCUAGUUAAUACCUAGGGAUAGUGGACGUUACUCGCAGAAUAAGCACCGGCUAACUCUGUGCCAGCCGCCGCGGUAA
rnacentral:rRNA from 1 species